UCUGCCCUUAGAGGUGUUGCAGGUGUAGCUGCUCUGUCACAGGUGUAAAUAGGUUUCAGAGAAGAGUGGGUAUGUGUACAAACAGCGUUCUGACCUAUGAACAUCUGAAGGAUUAGCUGACCAAUGCU